rnacentral:lncRNA from 1 species
UUUUUCAAAUAUCCCUGUUUCCUACAGAAGAAGCACUUUAUUUGCCUUUUGUCAGUCACUUUGGCUGACACUUUCAUUUUCUUCUUCUUAACAGGAAUAUGAUGACUUGUACUGCCGACCUCUUUAUGUCCUUUUCCCUUAUGAGAGGUGAGAUAAACACUCUCUUGCCUCUCUUGUUUUAUUCUCUGCUCCUCAUCAACACAUAUGGCUAGAAGUUGAUUCAUAGUCCAUUUUUCUGUAUGUGUGUUGUAUGAGAUCUUAAAUGGUGCAUACUCCAUAGGCAGAGAAUUAAGAACAAAGUGUA